AGUGGGUCCGAGCUGACAGCCAGGUGAUUCAGGAAGUAUUCAGGAAGUGAAGUCAUGGGGGAAAUCAAGAAUGGGAAAGGCCUCAGGACAUCAGGAAGGUGAGGUGGCUGUAGCUGCUGAUACCCUUGGCCUUCAGAGACUAUCACGCAUGCUGGUGACUGGACAGACAGACCUACCUUCCCCAGACAGCGAUCUAUCGGUUCUCAGUGGUGGUUAAUGCUGAUUGUCAACAUCACAGGAUCUGAGCUACCGAGGUGUCAAAGCCCUGAGCCGGUGUUUGAGGAGAUUUCUCGGGUGGUUACCUGACAUAGGAAGACUUCACUGUACAGGUCGUCUGUCCAGGGGCUGUGGUCCAGGCUGACUGACGUGUGAGCUGAGCAGCGGCAUUCGUCUCUUUCUGCCUCCUGACUGCCCCAAGAUCCCCCACCAUGAUGGACCGGACUCUCAGACUCAUAUCCCUGGAAGAAGCUGUCACGACACUAAAGGCUUCCACUUCUCUCUGAAGAGUCCUUCCGCCAGUGGCCCUUAUAGUAAACAGUGAUCAGGCGAAACAGCGAUCAGGCAGUGGUGCUCACACUUUCUUGUGCUCCCAUGUAGGCGGCAGUGUGUACUCAGAGCAGCUCCAAGAGCUGGCUGUAAAUGAAGCCAUGCAAGCAAUUCUACAUGCGACAGUGCAGGGAGAGUGAUGUGUGAUAAAAAUAGCAUCUCAAAUUAGUGAAACUGGAAGAGCAUUCAACCACCAGGAGAGGAGUGCAAGCGCGUGCGCGCAGCUAGAAUCGCGGGCUCCCAUCCAUUUUAUUAAUUUACCCAGGGGAAAAUUAGAAGAUUCAUUGUUACAUACAAUUGCAAUUUCUUUUUUAUCUUAUUUUGGGCAUAUAAUAGACUGCUACCUACCAAACCUAUCUAAGAUAGAGCAGAAAGGGUAAGCAGCGAGGCGUCUUAAUCAGAAGGGUUCAAGACGGGAUUCGACAGUGAUUCGCACCCAGCUUCAAGUCUAGUUUGAUUCGGGGGCAAGAAAACAGGAAAUGUGACCGUCUCUACUUAUGUUGUGGCACAUCAGCCUCUUUUGCUCUGGGAAAAAGCAGAAAUCCCCCUGUGGCAGUGCCAAAUCUCUGUCUACUUGGGUAUUGUCAAAAACAUCUUCCUGAAUGAGAUUAAAGGUUCUGCCAGAGAGAGUUGGGUAAACCCAUUAUGAGGCAUGUUGAUAUUGCGACUUUUGAAAAUCUUAUUUAAAAAAAAUAAUUCAAAUAUUUGUUUUAUUAAUUCCUAAUUAUGAUACUAUAGCACCUGUCCAGGGAUAUAUUCUGGUCUGGGAGAGAACGUUGAGCCUAACAAGUUUGAAAAUAAAUUCAAUAUCCAUGCCUUUGUAUUUGUGAAUAAAAUGAGUGCCUAUUGCUUCUCUAAUACAAAGGGGAAAGGUCAAAUCUUAUAGCCCCAUAUAGAUGAUGAAUUCUAACUUUUAUCUUUAGUGCAAAGACAUUGUCCAAGAAGUCUACCCAUGCAAUGUGUUUCAGAAAUGGGAUGACUAUAUAAAAAUGGUGGUAAAACCUGACUAAAAGAAACAGCAAUGAUUCUGAAUACAAAAUAAUAUUAAAAUUAAAGACUGUAU